rnacentral:sRNA from 1 species
UGAUAGCCCUGAAAGCAGCGGUAUCCUUUAUUUACGAGUUACAACCAUUUUAAUGGCUGUAACUCGUAAAUAAAGAUAAAGCGAAUAGCAGGAAAUAGC